GAUGAACGCUAGCGGCAGGCUUAACACAUGCAAGUCGAGGGGUAGAGGAAGCUUGCUUCCUUGAGACCGGCGCACGGGUGCGUAACGCGUAUGCAACCUACCUUUUACAGAGGGAUAGCCCAGAGAAAUUUGGAUUAAUACCUCAUGGUAUAUAUCAUUCGCAUGUUUGAUAUAUUAAAGUUCCAACGGUAAAAGAUGGGCAUGCGUCCUAUUAGCUAGAUGGUAAGGUAACGGCUUACCAUGGCAACGAUAGGUAGGGGUCCUGAGAGGGAGAUCCCCCACACUGGUACUGAGACACGGACCAGACUCCUACGGGAGGCAGCAGUGAGGAAUAUUGGACAAUGGGCGCAAGCCUGAUCCAGCCAUGCCGCGUGCAGGAAGAAGCAUCUAUGGUGUGUAAACUGCUUUUGUACGGGAAGAAACACUCCUUCGUGAAGGAGCUUGACGGUACCGUAAGAAUAAGGAUCGGCUAACUCCGUGCCAGCAGCCGCCGUAAAAC
rnacentral:rRNA from 1 species